ACUCAACGCGAAUUCUUUAAAAAGGGCGAGUUAUAGUUGCAAAAGCGAGCCGUGUCCUCAGGGAGAGCGGAUACUUGACCAACUAAUUAACCCUAAACUUGUUUUAAGGAGUUU
rnacentral:sRNA from 2 species